rnacentral:rRNA from 1 species
UCUCGCAGAUCAGGUCGGCAAUAUUUGCCCCGUCCAGCAUAGCGGGCACCGAUCGCACCAACACCGCGUCCGUGCCAAAGAUCUCCACCUCAAAGCCGCCUUUUUGCAGCAGAUCCAGAUGUUCCUCAAUGGCGGACAGCUCCGCUUUGUUCAAGCGCACGGACACCGGCGCCAGCAGGAGAAGAAAACAAAAUGUGAUUCCCCCAGUAGUGGCGAGCGAACGGGGAAGAGCCCAAACCGUUGCCGUUUCGGCGACAGCGGGGUCAUGGGACCGCGAUACUCGACGGAAGACGAAGUGCAAUUACCUGGAAAGGUAAGCCGUGGAGGGUGACAGCCCCGUGCACGACACCUCUUUCGAAGAUAGCGGGAUCCCGAGUAGGGCGGGACACGAGAAAUCCUGCCUGAAUUCGCCAGGACCUCCUGGCAAGGCUAAAUACUCCCGAGAGACCGAUAGUGAACCAGUACCGCGAGGGAAAGGUGAAAAGUACCCCGAGCAGGGGGGUGAAAUAGACCCUGAACCCGCGCGCCUACAAGCGGUCGGAGCCAUGAAAUAUGGUGACGGCGUGCCUUUUGCAUAAUGAGCCUACGAGUUAGUCGUCACCAGCGAGGUUAAGGGCUUCAGGCCCGUUAGCCGAAGUGAAAGCGAGCCUUAACAGGGCGUCGAGUUGGUGGCGCUAGACGCGAAACCUUGUGAUCUACCCACGAGCAGGUUGAAGUCGCGGUAACACGUGAUGGAGGACCGAACCGGUAAACGUUGAAAAGUUUUCGGAUGACUCGCGGGUAGGGGUGAAAGGCCAAUCAAACUGGGAAAUAGCUCGUACUCUCCGAAAUGCAUUUCGGUGCAGCCUGUGAUGUUCUGUUCCAGAGGUAGAGCUACUGGUUGGACGCGAGGGCUUCACCGCCUAUCAAAUCCGGAUAAACUCCGAAUGCUGGAACACGAAAUCAUGGAGUGAGCCCGCGGGUGCUAAGGUCCGCGGACGAGAGGGAAAGAACCCGGACCACCGGCUAAGGUCCCGGAUGGACAGUUAAGUUGAUCAAACGAGGUGGGAUCGCGGAGACAGCUAGGAUGUUGGCUUGGAAGCAGCCAUUCAUUUAAAGAGUGCGUAACAGCUCACUAGUCGAGCGAUCCCGCGUGGAUAAUACACGGGCAUCAAACUGUCAACCGAAGCCGUGGGGUUAGUGAUGAGCUAACCGGUAGGAGAGCAUUCCUGCCAGCUUUGAAGGUCACCCGCGAGAGUGACUGGAGCGGCAUGAAAAGCAAAUGUAGGCAUAAGUAACGAUAAUGGGGGCGAGAACCCCCCACGCCGCAAGACCAAGGAUUCCCCGGCAAUGUCAAUCAGCCGGGGGUCAGCCGGCCUCUAAGGCUCACCCGAAAGGGGAUGCCGACGAGAAACGGGUUAACAUUCCCGUGCUUCUCGUCACCGUGACGCGGUGACGGGGUGAUGAAUGGACCGCGCGCUGACGGAAUAGCGCGUUGAAGGCCGUACCCGAUGACGGUGGUAGUCAAGCACGCCACCGGAGGCGAGAGCCGAUAGUACCACGAGACCCCGGUCGAGUGGAUAGCGUCCAGGCAAUUUACCCCCUAGAAAACCCGCUAAACUUCAAGUGACGAGGAACCGUACUGUAAACGGACACACGUGGUCGGGUAGAAUAUACCAAGGCGCUCGAGUGAUUCAUGGUCAAGGAACUAGGCAAAAUAGUCCUGUAACUUCGGGAAAAAGGACGCUCUAGUGAUAGAGCCGCAGAGUAAUGGCCCAGGCGACUGUUUACCAAAAACACAUGGCUAUGCCAAAUCGAAAGAUGACGUAUAUGGCCUGACACCUGCCCGGUGCCGGAAGGUUAAGAGGAGAGCUCAUCGGAAACGAGAAGGUUUGAAUUGAAGCCCCGGUAAACGGCGGCCGUAACUAUAACGGUCCUAAGGUAGCGAAAUUCCUUGUCGGGU